rnacentral:rRNA from 1 species
GACGAACGCUGGCGGCGUGCCUAAUACAUGCAAGUCGAACGAGAGCGACCGGUGCUUGCACUGGUCAAUCUAGUGGCGAACGGGUGAGUAACACGUGGGUAACCUGCCCAUCAGAGGGGGAUAACAUUCGGAAACGGAUGCUAAAACCGCAUAGGUCUUCGAACCGCAUGGUUUGAAGAGGAAAAGAGGCGCAAGCUUCUGCUGAUGGAUGGACCCGCGGUGCAUUAGCUAGUUGGUGAGGUAACGGCUCACCAAGGCCGUGAUGCAUAGCCGACCUGAGAGGGUGAUCGGCCACAUUGGGACUGAGACACGGCCCAAACUCCUACGGGAGGCAGCAGUAGGGAAUCUUCCGCAAUGGGCGCAAGUCUGACGGAGCAACGCCGCGUGAGUGAAGAAGGUUUUCGGAUCGUAAAACUCUGUUGUUAGAGAAGAAUAAGUGCUAGAGUAACUGUUAGCGCCUUGACGGUAUCUAACCAGAAAGCCACGGCUAACUACGUG